rnacentral:misc_RNA from 1 species
AAAGAUCGCAGCCUGCGGCAGCUCCUACGGGGAAAUGCAUUCCAAAGUUGGAGCUGCCGCAGGCUGCGAUCUUU